UCUUUCAUAGCUCAAUGGCAGAGCGAUUGGCUGUUAACCAAUAGGUUGCUGGUUCGAAUCCAGCUGGAAGAG
rnacentral:tRNA from 1 species